AACGAACGCUGGCGGCAGGCUUAACACAUGCAAGUCGAGCGCCCCGCAAGGGGAGCGGCAGACGGGUGAGUAACGCGUGGGAAUCUACCCAGCUCUACGGAAUAACUCAGGGAAACUUGUGCUAAUACCGUAUACGUCCGAUAGGAGAAAGAUUUAUCGGAGUUGGAUGAGCCCGCGUUGGAUUAGCUAGUUGGUGGGGUAAUGGCCUACCAAGGCGACGAUCCAUAGCUGGUCUGAGAGGAUGAUCAGCCACACUGGGACUGAGACACGGCCCAGACUCCUACGGGAGGCAGCAGUGGGGAAUAUUGGACAAUGGGCGAAAGCCUGAUCCAGCCAUGCCGCGUGAGUGAUGAAGGCCCUAGGGUUGUAAAGCUCUUUCAACGGUGAAGAUAAUGACGGUAACCGUAGAAGAAGCCCCGGCUAACUUCGUGCCAGCCGCCGCAGUAAUAC
rnacentral:rRNA from 1 species